GGUGCAGAUGAUGACACUGUUAAGCGACCAAAGUCUGACAAUAAUGAUUCCUACCACAUUGUCUGAUGCACC
rnacentral:snoRNA from 1 species